AUUGAACGCUGGCGGCAUGCCUUACACAUGCAAGUCGAACGGUAGCAGGUCUUCGGAUGCUGACGAGUGGCGAACGGGUGAGUAAUGCAUCGGAACGUGCCCAGUAGUGGGGGAUAGCCCGGCGAAAGCCGGAUUAAUACCGCAUACGACCUGAGGGUGAAAGGGGGGGAUCGCAAGACCUCUCGCUAUUGGAGCGGCCGAUGUCAGAUUAGCUAGUUGGUGGGGUAAAGGCCUACCAAGGCAACGAUCUGUAGUUGGUCUGAGAGGACGACCAGCCACACUGGGACUGAGACACGGCCCAGACUCCUACGGGAGGCAGCAGUGGGGAAUUUUGGACAAUGGGCGCAAGCCUGAUCCAGCAAUGCCGCGUGCAGGAAGAAGGCCUUCGGGUUGUAAACUGCUUUUGUCAGGGAAGAAAUCUUCUGGGUUAAUACCUCGGGAGGAUGACGGUACCUGAAGAAUAAGCACCGGCUAACUACGUGCCAGCCGCCGCAGUAAAAC
rnacentral:rRNA from 1 species